rnacentral:rRNA from 1 species
GACGAACGCUGGCGGCGUGCUUAACACAUGCAAGUCGAACGGAAAGGCCCUGCUUUUGUGGGGUGCUCGAGUGGCGAACGGGUGAGUAACACGUGAGUAACCUGCCCUUGACUUUGGGAUAACUUCAGGAAACUGGGGCUAAUACCGGAUAGGAGCUCCUGCUGCAUGGUGGGGGUUGGAAAGUUUCGGCGGUUGGGGAUGGACUCGCGGCUUAUCAGCUUGUUGGUGGGGUAGUGGCUUACCAAGGCCUUGACGGGUAGCCGGCCUGAGAGGGUGACCGGCCACAUUGGGACUGAGAUACGGCCCAGACUCCUACGGGAGGCAGCAGUGGGGAAUAUUGCACAAUGGGCGGAAGCCUGGUGCAGCAACGCCGCGUGCGGGAUGACGGCCUUCGGGUUGUAAACCGCUUUCGCCUGUGACGAAGCGUGAGUGACGGUAAUGGGUAAAGAAGCACCGGCUAACUACGUG